rnacentral:misc_RNA from 1 species
CCAAUAGCGUAUAUUAAAGUUGUUGCAGUUAAAAAGCUCGUAGUUGAACUUCGGGGUCUACCCAUUGGUCAGGCUUAAUUGUCUGUACUGGUGAGAUGGAUCUCUACCUUCUGAGGAACUUUCAUGCCAUUUAUUUGGUGUGGUUGGAAAUCAGGACUGUUACUUUGAAAAAAUUAGAGUGUUUAAAGCAGACUAUCGUCUGAAUACAUUAGCAUGGAAUAAUGAAAUAGGACGGACUGAUUCUAUUUCGUUGGUUUCUAGGAUCACCGUAAUGAUUAAUAGGGAUAGUUGGGGGCAUUAGUAUUCAAUUGUCAGAGGUGAAAUUCUUGGAUUUAUUGAAGACUAACUACUGCGAAAGCAUUUGCCAAGGAUGUUUUCAUUAAUCAAGAACGAAAGUUAGGGGAUCGAAGACGAUCAGAUACCGUCGUAGUCUUAACCAUAAACUAUGCCGACUAGGGAUCGGACGAAGUUAAUUUUAUAAUGACGCGUUCGGCACCUUACGGGAACCCAAACACUUUGGUUUC